GUGGGGAAUAUUGGGCAAUGGGCGAAAGCCUGACCCAGCAACGCCGCGUGAAGGAAGAAGGUUUUCGGAUCGUAAACUUCUAUCCUUGGUGAAGAUAAUGACGGUAGCCGAGAAGGAAGCCCCGGCUAACUACGUGCCAGCAGCCGCGGUAAUACGUAGGGGGCAAGCGUUGUCCGGAAUGAUUGGGCGGAAAGGGCGCGUAGGCGGCCUGGUAAGUCUGGAGUGAAAGUCCUGCUGUUAAGGUGGGAAUUGCUUUGGAUACUGUCGGGCUUGAGUGCAGGAGAGGUAAGUGGAAUUCCCGGUGUAGCGGUGAAAUGCGUAGAGAUCGGGAGGAACACCAGUGGCGAAGGCGACUUACUGGACUGUAACUGACGCUGAGGCGCGAAAGUGUGGGGAGCAAACAGGAUUAGAAACCCUAGUAGUCC
rnacentral:rRNA from 1 species